ACAUUUUUGAAUACUUGACUAAAUUUCUCAGUUAUCUACCUUAAUACAUAAACUGCAUAAUUUUUUAUUCAGAACUUUUACUUUGUAAUGUAGCCUUUUAUAAUUUUGGAGGGUUUCUCCCUCUAUAAAUUUAGCUUUCCUAAGUUCCAAUAAAAUAUGGUUUAUAAAUUUUUGCAAGUUUAAUUCCAUAUGAUAAUGUAAAUCUACCUUUAUGGGUGACUGCAAUUAUUAUCUUUUCAAAAGUAAAUAUUUUUUAUACACCUAUCUAGAGUUUUCCUCCUUCCUUCUUUCCUUUUUCUUCUGAUUUUGAAAGAGGACAAGAUUUUUUCCUGAUAUUGCGUAUCUUAGAGAUAAGAUAGAAUUCUCAAUUAGAAAGUUUAUACUUUCUGUAAAGUCGUUUUUUGCUUGAUCAUAGGACUCUCGGCUGUAGGCUUAUGCAACGGACCCUGGGAAGGAAUGUGUUUAUUAUUUUCAUGGACAACCAAGUCUACUGAAGACCACAGUUGCUGUCCCUUUAAAUGGAAGAGAUGUGUUGAGAGCCAUAUCUAGAAGAUCACAUCUGAAACAAAGCUCUUCUGGUCUUGCCUCACCAGGAAGCCAAAGAGAAGAAAAACAUCUAAAUGCAAUAUAGAGGCUUAUCAUUUUCCUUAUUGUGUCAACCUCCAAAAAUUUGUACUCAGGUUGGAAUAGAAAAACAUUAAUGUUACCAUCCCCUACCACUUAGCCUCAUUUCUCCCACAUAGAAGAGUCAAUUAUUAUUGUCAAGUAUCAUACUUUCCUUAUGGCAUGGCAUGUAAGAACUUCCACUAUCCCGACUUCUCCUCUGCAUCCAUUAUACAGAUUCCAGUGGAAUGUGCCAUUCUUUAAACAGAGAUGUGGAUUCACAUGGCAACAAUAAUUAGGCAGGCCAAUAUGAAUCCGGGGAUUUUUAUUCUCCUUUAAAAACCUAUUUUUUGAGAUAAACUACUUUGAGAAUAUUAUCCUCUUUUCUUUAUAUUCAGUGUUCCCCUCCUCCAAAUUCACAUGUUAAAACCCUAACCCCUAAAUUAAUGGUAUUGUGGUACUGUGGAGGGUAAUUAGGUUUCAUGAGAUCAUAAGGGUGAUGCCCUCAUAAGGGAAUUAGUGCUUUAUGAGAAGAAGGAGGACAGGAGAGUUCUCUCUUUUUACACUUUGAGGAAAGGUUAUGUGAGCGCACAGGGGAAAAUGGCCAUAAGCAAGCCAAGAAAAUGGUCUUCGCCAGGAAAUGAAUCUCCUAGCAUCUUCAUUUUGGACUUCCAGCCUCCAGAAUUUUAUUUUUAGAAACCCUUGUGUCAAGAGCUGACUUUCAAUAGAUCAAUGAGGAGAUUACUCUGCAAG